rnacentral:rRNA from 1 species
UCCGUAGGUGAACCUGCGGAAGGAUCAUUAACGAGUUAGGGUCUUUCAGGCCCGACCUCCCAACCCUUUGUUUAUUGAACCUCUGUUGCUUCGGCGGACCCGCCUCACGGCCGCCGGAGGACCGCCGCAAGGCGUCCUCUGGCCCGCGUCUGUCGAUAGCCAACCCUAAACUCUGAAUCAAUCGUGUCAUAUGUCUAAGUCUAUGAUUAAAUUAUAAGCAAAACUUUCAACAACGGAUCUCUUGGUUCUGGCAUCGAUGAAGAACGCAGCGAAAUGCGAUAAGUAAUGCGAAUUGCAGAAUUCCAGUGAGUCAUCGAAUCUUUGAACGCACAUUGCGCCCUUUGGUAUUCCGAAGGGCAUGCCUGUUCGAGCGUCAUUAUCACCCCUCAAGCCCCGUGCUUGGUGUUGGACGGCCGGUCGAGCGAUCGACCCCUCCUAAAGACAAUGACGGCGGCCUGUGGUUCCCCCGGUACACUGAGCUUUUAACGGAGCACGUACCGGACCAGGGCACCCAGGACCCGGUCCUCUCCUUUCACUAGGAAACUUCUAAGGUUGACCUCGGAUCAGGUAGGAAUACGCGCUGAACUUAAGCAUAUCAAUAAGCGCAGGAAAAGAAACCAACC